UACGUAGGGUGCGAGCGUUGCCCGGAUUUAUUGGGCGUAAAGGGCGCGUAGGCGGCCACGCACGUCCGUUGUGAAAUCGCCCGGCUCAACUGGGCGGGGUCGGCGGAUACGGCGUGGCUGGAGCAAGCUAGGGGGCAAUGGAAUUCCCGGUGUAGUGGUGGAAUGCGUAGAUAUCGGGAGGAACACCAGUGGCGAAGGCGGUUGCCUGGAGCUUUGCUGACGCUGAGGCGCGAAAGCGUGGGGAGCGAACGAG
rnacentral:rRNA from 1 species